rnacentral:rRNA from 1 species
GACGAACGCUGGCGGCGUGCCUAAUACAUGCAAGUCGAACGCAGUGGGGACGGGUGAGUAACACGUGGGUAACCUCCCAUCAGAGGGGAUAACACUUGGAAACAGGUGCUAAAACGAUACUCUCGGAUGGACCCCUAUGGGAUUAGCUAUGAGGUGGGGAAAAGGCUCACCUAGGCGACGAUCUCUAGCUGGUCUGAGAGGAUGAUCAGCAACAAUGGGACGGAUACACGGACCAGACGCCUACGGGAGUCAGCAGUAGGGAAUCUUCGGCAAUUGACGAAAGUCUGACGGAGAAACGCCGCGUGAGUGAAGAAGGUUUUCGGAUCGUAAAACUCUGUUGUUAGAGAAGCGGUAUCUAACCAGAAAGCCACGGCUAACUACGUGCCAGCCGCCGCGGUAAUAC